CGAGGCCUCAAUUCCGUAGUGCAUUGCAGUGCAUCCUGCCCCUGCAAGCAGUGCGGAAGUGAGGCUGGGGC
rnacentral:pre_miRNA from 1 species